UCUAGGCGCGUGGAAGAAGAAGAGGGAUGUUCCUCUCGGUGUUAGGAUGUUAUCCUGAAUGACCUUACCUGGUGCAAAGGCACCUUGGUUCUUCAAAAUGUAUUUUUUUAAAAGUGGUCUUAAGCGCUUAACUAUGAUUUUUUGUGAUAAUUUUGUAGGUGACAUUACACAGACUAAUUGGCCUAAAUCGAGAAACAAACUUCUCAAUCUUAGGGAUUAAGAGCAUCUCUAACAACUUUCCCAUUUUCUUGAUUUUAUCAAUUUUAGAGAAUAUUGGGUUGUUUUGUGGUCCAAUUUCCUCAUCUCAUUCCCUAAAAUGGGGAUGGAGAAGAAAGAAAAGCACUUCUUCCCCAAAUUUGUAGCAAAGCCUUUUUUCCCCAAAUAUUAAUUAUUUACGUGUUCCAACGAUAAGAACAAAAAUCUAGAAUAUUUUAUUGUGUAAUUUAUGUUAAAAUAAAAUAUAUGAUUUUUUUUUUGUUAUUAUUAAUAAUCAUGUAACAUAUUUUAUUGUUGUAAUAAAUGCUGAAAUCUCUAAAAUGGAGAAGCUGUUGGAGUUGGAGCAUAAUUUUUUUAGAGAUUUUGGCUUUUGUUUUCCUAUUUUAGAGAAAUUUUAAGGAAGCUGUUGGAGAUGCUCUAAGGCAAUAUUAGUAUGGUUGAUAUCAUUUAAAGGGAAGUUUUUUGAGAAAAAAAUAUUUAAUCCAAGAUAUAGUCUUGGUCAUUACAAAUUUCAUUACUCAUUGAGUGGUACCGGUAGCAAUAACAAGUCUUAUACAAACGGAAGGAUUCGUUUAUCUCAAAGUCCAUUACUUUGUACAUGGUAAUGAAUCCAGAGAUAUACCAGUUUCACAAAAAACAGAUGCUACUGACACUGAAGCUGUAAAUUCAUAGUCCUAUACUAUGUCGGAGUUGUUGGAAUUGUCGUGAAUAGCUGACGUUUAAUGUUACUUUCGUGUCCUAAAACAUAUAGGGUAUGUUUGUUUGUUUCAAGGGACUAUCUAACCUAGGCAUAUUUUCUUCAUUAGUCAUGCACUCCAUAAGCUUGCCUUAUGCUAUAGAUGCCUUAACCCAUGUUUGGUACCAGAUCACUAUAAUUAAAACCAACACCAUCGACAACACCAACCUGCAAAAUCUUCACCAUCUCGGGUCAUCAAUUUCAUACAUCAAUCAUCUUCUUUAUGCUCAAUUCAUGUAUGACUUCUCUUGUCCCCCAUAAUAUAUAUGAACAAGAUAGAAUAAGAUCUAGUGUUAUCCAUCAAUUCAAUUUCUUGUUUUGCUGCUACUGCUGCAACUAAUAAUCAAUUCAGACGAAGACAAGUUGAAGAAGAAUUGUCGACGAGAUAUUUUUCAAUCAAUUGGACAAUAAUUGGUGGUUUACAUGGUUCUGCGACCUACGAUCCGUUCUUCAAUCUUGACCCAAAAACCCUGCAAAUCAGCGAUAAUCCGUAGAUAUCACGUAGUCUCUCGGUCUCUCCUAUGCUUGAUAGAAAACCCAAACGGUGACAACGAAAAGACCAAACACUCAAAAAGAAAGUAACUCAAACACUAGCGUCGUUUGUUUGUACUGUACCUACUUGUUCUGUGACUUGUGUUUUCUGUCUCGCCUCUCUACCUUUUCUUUUCGAUAUACACUCGAUCUCUCUGCGACCCACAACCGAUUUCAAAUGGCUGGAGCAACUUCGACUACCUACUUGUCGUCCCCUACAACCCGGAAAUUAAUUCAAGUCACUCAUAUUCCAAAACGGCGACGUCGAUUGGGUGCGAACCGAUGGCCAUGCAUGAUUUCCACCAAUGCAGACCUGCCUGUAACCCUUCCCCUCUCUCUCUCUCUCUCUCAAAGUUCCUUUAUUCUUUGUUUCUACAUUUAGUUUGGCACUCUUGAUUUAUGGCUAGCUAUUGUUUUGAAUUCAGAGAACUGAGCUUUAUGGGUUUAGUUUGGUUUGAACUGCAUCGUUUUGUUUACGUCUUUCUUACGUACAAUGUACUGCUCUAUGACAUUUAGCUCUUACUGGGUUGCUUUCUUAAAAUAUACUGUUUUUCUAUACUAGCUAACAUUGGUUGUUGAGUGUGCUUUUGCCUUGAACAUUAUUGGGGUUCAAAGUUUUUCCCUGUUUGAUUGUUGAUGGUAGGUUGUUAGAUGUCCUUUACUAAACACGAAACAAGUGUACUUCUUACGGAUGUUUUGUUAUGAAGUUUUUUGCUAUGAGAAUAUGUGAU
rnacentral:lncRNA from 1 species